UGAGUUUGAUCCUGGCUCAGAACGAACGCUGGCGGCGUGCCUAACACAUGCAAGUCGAACGUGAUCCAUCCUUCGGGGUGGUGAAAGUGGCGCACGGGUGAGUAACGCGUGGAUAAUCUGCCCGAGGAUUUGGGAUAACAUCUCGAAAGGGGUGCUAAUACCGAAUAAGCCCACGGGGUCUACGGAUCUUGCGGGAAAAGGGGGGGACUUUCGGGCCUCCUGUCUUCGGAUGAGUCCGCGUACCAUUAGCUAGUUGGUAGGGUAAUGGCCUACCAAGGCGACGAUGGUUAGCUGGUCUGAGAGGAUGAUCAGCCACACUGGAACUGAGACACGGUCCAGACUCCUACGGGAGGCAGCAGUGGGGAAUUUUGCGCAAUGGGGGAAACCCUGACGCAGCAACGCCGCGUGGGUGAUGAAGGCCUUCGGGUCGUAAAGCCCUGUCGGGAGGGAAGAAAUGAUUGAGAGCUAAUACCUCUUGGUCUUGACGGUACCUCCGAAGGAAGCACCGGCUAACUCCGUGCCAGCAGCCGCGGUAAUACGGAGGGUGCAAGCGUUGUUCGGAAUUAUUGGGCGUAAAGCGCGUGUAGGCGGUCUUUUAAGUCUGAUGUGAAAGCCCCGGGCUCAACCUGGGAAGUGCAUUGGAAACUGGGAGACUUGAGUACGGGAGAGGAGAGUGGAAUUCCUAGUGUAGGAGUGAAAUCCGUAGAUAUUAGGAGGAACACCCGGUGGCGAAGGCGGCUCUCUGGACCGAUACUA
rnacentral:rRNA from 1 species